rnacentral:rRNA from 1 species
GUUGGGAAUAUUGGACAAUGGGCGCAAGCCUGAUCCAGCAAUGCCGCGUGAGGGAUGAAGGCUCUCGGGUCGUAAACCUCUUUCAGCAGGGAAAAAGGGAAACUUGAUGGUACCUGCAGAAGAAGCACCGGCUAACUACGUGCCAGCAGCCGCGGUAAUACGUAGGGUGCAAGCGUUGUUCGAAAUCACUGGGCGUAAAGCGCGUGUAGGCGGUUUGUUAAGUCUAAUGUGAAAGCCCGGAGCUUAACUCCGGAAGUGCAUCGGAUACUGGCAAACUAGAGGACAGAAGAGGGAAGUGGAAUUCCUGGUGUAGGGGUGAAAUCCGUAGAUAUCAGGAGGAACAUCAGUGGCGAAGGCGGCUUCCUGGUCUGUUUCUGACGCUCAGACGCGAAAGCAUGGGGAGCAAACAGGAUUAGAAACCCCAGUAGUCC